rnacentral:rRNA from 1 species
GACGAACGCUGGCGGCGCGCCUAACACAUGCAAGUCGAACGAGCGAGCGAGAGCUUGCUUUCUCGAGCGAGUGGCGAACGGGUGAGUAACGCGUGAGGAACCUGCCUCUAAGAGGGGGACAACAGUUGGAAACGACUGCUAAUACCGCAUAAGCCCACGACCCGGCAGCGGGUAGAGGGAAAAGGAGCGAUCCGCUUUGAGAUGGCCGCGCGUCCGAUCAGCUAGUUGGUGUGGUAACGGCCCACCAAGGCGACGAUCGGUAGCCGUACUGGGAGGCUGAACGGCCACGAUGGGGAUGCGACACGGCCCCGAAUGCUACGGGGGGGAGCAGUGGGGAAUAUUGCACAAUGGGGGAAGACCUGAUGCAGCGACGCCGCGUGGAGGAAGAAGGUCUUCGGAUUGUAAACUCCUGUGGUUGAGGAAGAUAAUGACGGUACUCAACAAGGAAGCGACGGCUAACUACGUG